CAUUAUGCAUUUGGCAUUAGUGCAUUUGAGGCAUUGAUUAUGCAUUUGGUAUUGUGCAGCAGAGGCACAUUGACCCUGGCACAUUGAUUAUGCAUUUGGUAUUGUGCAGCAGAGGCACAUUGACCCUGGUAGAUAGGGUAUCCUCUUGUGAGGAUUGGAUCAUACUCACUAGUCUGUUCUUGCUUGUCGGUGGUCGCUCCAACGAAGCACGAGUCUCCGGAGUACUUCACUAGGGGCAGACGUAGUUGUCCCGCAGACGGUCUCGGUGUGCGAGUGCAGAUUCUCCUCACCUAUGAGAUUGAGAGUGAGUCGAGG
rnacentral:lncRNA from 1 species